AGUUAACAGGUUCUAAUUUUGCCUAUGAAAAUGAGCUUCAGAUGUGAGGUUGUGAUCUAUGUAAAUUAAAUGUAACCCCUCAGUAUCAGAAGAUAAUUCCACUUGGGCCACUUAAGGACAAAAAAACGUGCUAACGGUCCAUGCUGCAACACCAGACUAAGUCAUCUGGUGCUGAGAUAAGAGCUGCGUGGUGAAACCUGCUGCUAGUUUGUGUUUCAUGGGCAAUCUGGAGUACCAAGGAGCACGUCAGGCCUUGACGCCCACCAUUACAGCAGCAUGGAGCCCUGUCUGACACAGCAGUGUGUGGCAUUGCCUAAGAUGGUGGCCGCCCCAGGCCUGGCAGGAGGGUGGAUACAUGUGAUGAUGCUUUCUGAGGCCGGGGCUUGCAAGAAAGGCAUUGCAGCCCUGCUGCUCACGCUGUCUGAGGUGUCUGUUGCCACACCGUCUGGCUCAGCCAUGCUGAAACAGUGCUCACAGAUGUGAAACCAGCAGCAGCGGCAGAAAGACUUCGUCAACACCAGCAAAUCACUGUUUCUACCUCUGCAAGGUCAGCUUCUGAAGGCAACGUGUUCAAGACCACAGCUCCACAACUGGUGAGGAACAUUAAUUGUCAGGAAACACUUAGAAAUUACACAGUGUUAGUUGUUAGGCAAAAAGUGUUCUCAUGACAGAGCCAAUGUCUGAAUUUAAGGCCAGCCUUGCAUCUAUACAGUGAAUAGUUUGUGAGUAACUUCAGUGGGGUUAGGAUGAAGCCCAGGAGUUUCUUACUCAUUACUUGCUGGGUGAAUGACACGAUGAACAUCUGCAGAACAUGUUCCUGUGUCAUCACU